GCCCGGCUGGCACAAUGGUUAGCGCGUGGGACUUUUAAUCCCAAGGCUGUGGGUUCGAGUCCCACGUCGGGCG